UAGAUUGAUUUUUUUAUCAUC
rnacentral:piRNA from 1 species